rnacentral:rRNA from 1 species
CAGUCGCCACGGUAAUACGUAGGGGGCGAGCGUUGUCCGAAGUUACUGGGCGUAAAGCGCGCGUAGGCGGCUUCUUAAGUCUGAGGUGAAAGGUUCAACGCUUAACGUGAACAGUGCCUUGGAUACUGGGGAGCUUGAGUAUGGGAGAGGGCAGUGGAAUGGCUGGUGUAGCGGUGAAAUGCGUAGAUAUCAGUCGGAACACCCAUGGCGAAGGCAGCUGCCUGGCCUAAUACUGACGCUGAGGUGCGAAAGCGUGGGGAGCGAACGGGAUUAGAUACCCCCGUAGUCCCUGUCUCUUAUU